UAAGCUGUGUUUUCUCAAAGGGAUUUAUUGUCUGGAGGUUUCCGAGAGAUACUCCUUGCUGUUCAGCCGCCUCUCCUCAGAAAGGGGUCCCAUGUGAUGGGGAGAUUUGUAAGGCCUUAGGCGCGCAGUACUGCUCCAUCUACACACGUGACUUCAAAGGAUCAUCUCAAAGACCUGAUGAAAAUAAUAAACAAGAUGAAAAGCUUGCGGCUCUGCGCAUCAAGCUUCAGAAACGGGAGUCUCUUCCUGCUGACACCGAGAUGAGAGCCAGUUAUCGGCCGCCGAAGCAAAAGCCUGAACUUUUGCCAAACAUUUACCAACACAGCAACAUGGAUCAGAGAGCUCUCUGCCGUGGCAUAGUUCCAACAGUUAUUCAAAGACAUGUCCACACUCAGCAGAGGGGCACAAACCAGACAACCUAUGACAGGUUUUUUGGAAAUAGCGUCAACUAUCUCCCGCCUGACAUAAAGGCUCUGCGACCCCAUGAGACUCAGCAGUUAAAAACAAUCUUACAUGAUGAGGGACAGGAAACUGGGAAAGCAGCUUUAGGUAAAAACACUUGUUCAGGAAAUCAGGGUAAAACGAAGGAACUUGCUGCUGUUUUGCAGAACCCCCAGUCACCAGUUUGGACAUCCAGCUGGCCCGGACCUUUGUGAACCUUAGUAGGAAAUUUAUUAUCUCUGCGUGUUCAUUUUUUAGGAAUAUUUCUUUAUUUCAACUGUAUGAACAGAAACCUAAACCUGCCUAAACCUUUUAACAUUUUGUUACAUUCAAACCUCAAACUUUAAUGUUGUUAUUGCUAUUCUUUGCAAUACUGACACAAAGUAACACAUUUGUGAAAUGGAGAGCUUAUACAGUACCUCAAUGAAUAAAUACUGUAAUGUGCAAUUUGUAUUCUGUUUCUUUUACUCUAAUACCCAUAAAUUCAAUUCAGUUCAGUUUUGUUUAUAU